CUGGUUAAUAUGUCGAUAAGAAAUUGAGUGAAAAAACACUUUAAUGUCUUCAACCCCACUGAUCUUCUCUAUUCUUUAUAAUGAAUCAUGCACUUUUGCAGCAUGAUGGCAUUGGCAACAGUAAUAAACUGCUGGACCGAGGCAGAAUUGAGCAAUCAACGGCUGCAAAAAGUGUGAACCAAACGAGCGUUUCAAUACCUCCAUCCCAUUGUCUGUAGCAACUAUUUUCCAGCCAUCAUUUACACAUAUCUUCUCAAUUAAUACUCACUUAUAGACCUGAUUCAAAACCAAAUAUAAUCACCACUUAUUGUUGCUUAAUUAAGAUGAAAUGAACUUAUACUUACCAGGACCUACUGCAAGUUGCUGAACUUAAGAGCAAGCACAAAAGCACGGUAUAAGAAAUCAUUGUCAACUCCUCUUUGAGACUUUACACACAAGAAAUCAAGAAUGAAAGGUGAACUCCACAACAAAUCAAAACAAAGUCCAUGGAAAAUUCAACUUAAACCACCGAUUUACUACAAGUCACUGAAUUUUUUAAAGUUGGAAUCCAAAUUCAUUAUUUCAAUCAAUAUUGGCUAAUUGUUGAAUUUGGUUUGGGUAAGGGUUAGAGUUUAACAUUGGGAUUUUGAUUUGGGCAAUUUUGUGUUUUA
rnacentral:lncRNA from 1 species